AUGAACGCUGGCGGCGUGCCUAAUACCUGCAAGUCGCGCGAACGGACGAGAAGCUUGCUUCUCUGAUGUUAGCGGCGGACGGGUGAGUAACACGUGGAUAACCUACCUAUAAGACUGGGAUAACUUCGGGAAACCGGAGCUAAUACCGGAUAAUAUUUUGAACCGCAUGUUUCAAAAGUGAAAGACGGUCUUGCUGUCACUUAUAGAUGGAUCCGCGCUGCAUUAGCUAGUUGGUAAGGUAACGGCUUACCAAGGCAACGAUGCAUAGCCGACCUGAGAGGGUGAUCGGCCACACUGGAACUGAGACACGGUCUAGACUCCUACGGGAGGCAGCAGUAGGGAAUCUUCCGCAAUGGGCGAAAGCCUGACGGAGCAACGCCGCGUGAGUGAUGAAGGUCUUCGGAUCGUAAAACUCUGUUAUUAGGGAAGAACAUAUGUGUAAGUAACUGUGCACAUCUUGACGGUACCUAAUCAGAAAGCCACGGCUAACUACGUG
rnacentral:rRNA from 1 species